rnacentral:rRNA from 2 species
AAAUUGAAGAGUUUGAUCAUGGCUCAGAUUGAACGCUGGCGGCAGGCCUAACACAUGCAAGUCGAGCGGCAGCGGAAAGUAGCUUGCUACUUUGCCGGCGAGCGGCGGACGGGUGAGUAAUGUCUGGGAAACUGCCUGAUGGAGGGGGAUAACUACUGGAAACGGUAGCUAAUACCGCAUAACGUCGCAAGACCAAAGAGGGGGACCUUCGGGCCUCUUGCCAUCAGAUGUGCCCAGAUGGG